rnacentral:rRNA from 1 species
UGAGGAAUUUUCGGCAAUGGGGGAAACCCUGACCGAGCAAUACUACGUGAAGGAGGAAGGUCUAAGGAUUGUAAACUUCUGUUAGCGCGGAAGAAGGGCUAAAUGUAAGUUUAGUUUUGACGGUACGCGCAGAGAAAGCAACGACUAACUAUGUGCCAGCAGUCGCGGUAAGACAUAGGUUGCAAACGUUAUCCGGAAUUAUUGGGCGUAAAGGAUGCGUAGAUGGUUUGAUAAGUUAUCAGUGGCAAAUCGGGGCUCAACCUCGUGGAAGUUGGUAAUACUGUCAUACUUGAGUGCAGGAGAAGUUAACGGAACUCUAUGUGGAAGCGGUAAAAUGUGACGAUAUAUAGAAGAACACCAAUAAGGCGAAGGCAGUUAACUAUUCUGUUACUGACAUUGAGGCAUGAAAGCGUGGGGAGCAAAACGG